rnacentral:rRNA from 1 species
AGAGUUUGAUCCUGGCUCAGGAUGAACGCUGGCGGCGUGCCUAAUACAUGCAAGUCGAACGCGGGCACUUGUGCCCGAGUGGCGAACGGGUGAGUAAUACAUAAGUAACCUGGCCUUUACAGGGGGAUAACUGCUGGAAACGGCAGCUAAGACCGCAUAGGUAGGGACACUGCAUGGUGACCGUAUUAAAAGUGCUGCAAGGCACUGGUAGAGGAUGGACUUAUGGCGCAUUAGCUGGUUGGUGAGGUAACGGCUCACCAAGGCGACGAUGCGUAGCCGACCUGAGAGGGUGACCGGCCACACUGGGACUGAGACACGGCCCAGACUCCUACGGGAGGCAGCAGUAGGGAAUUUUCGGCAAUGGGGGGAACCCUGACCGAGCAACGCCGCGUGAAGGAAGAAGGAAUUCGUUCUGUAAACUUCUGUUAUAAAGGAAGAAAGACGGAUGGAGGAAAUGACAUCCGAGUGACGGUACUUUAUGAGAAAGCCACGGCUAACUACGUGCCAGCAGCCGCGGUAAUACGUAGGUGGCAAGCGUUAUCCGGAAUUAUUGGGCGUAAAGAGGGAGCAGGCGGCAGCAAAGGUCUGUGGUGAAAGACUGAAGCUUAACUUCAGUAAGCCAUAGAAACCGGGCAGCUAGAGUGCAGGAGAGGAUCGUGGAAUUCCAUGUGUAGCGGUGAAAUGCGUAGAUAUAUGGAGGAACACCAGUGGCGAAGGCGACGAUCUGGCCUGCAACUGACGCUCAGUCCCGAAAGCGUGGGGAGCAAAUAGGAUUAGAUACCCUAGUAGUCCACGCCGUAAACGAUGAAAGUAAGUGUUGGAAGUCAAAUUUCAUUGCAGCAGUUACGCCAGGUAAGUCUUCCGCCUGAGUGGUACGUUUGCCAGAAAGAAAUUCAAAGGAAUUGACGGGGGCCCGCCCAAGCGGUGGGGCAUGUGGUUUAAUUUGAAGCCACGCGAAGGACCCUUACCAGGUCUUGACAUACUCAUAAAGGAUCCAGAGAUGGAUAGAUAGUUAUAUGAGAUACAGGUGGUGCAUGGUUGUCGUCAGCUCGUGUCGUGAGAUGUUGGGUUAAGUCCCGCAACGAGCGCAACCCUUGUCGUUAGUUACCAUCAUUAAGUUGGGGACUCUAGCGAGACUGCCAGUGACAAGCUGGAGGAAGGCGGGGAUGACGUCAAAUCAUCAUGCCCCUUAUGACCUGGGCUACACACGUGCUACAAUGGAUGGUGCAGAGGGAAGCGAAGCCGCGAGGCGAAGCAAAACCCAUAAAACCAUUCUCAGUUCGGAUUGUAGUCUGCAACCCGACUACAUGAAGCCGGAAUCGCUAGUAAUCGCGGAUCAGAACGCCGCGGUGAAUACGUUCCCGGGUCUUGCACACACCGCCCGUCA